ensembl:lncRNA
GAUCAAGUUCACCUCCAGAGGACUAUUGGAUCAAGGUCAGCUCCAGAGGACUACUGGAUCAAGGUCAGCUCCAGAGGACUAUUGGAUCAAGGUCAGCUCCAGAGGACUACUGGAUCAAGGUCAGCUCCAGAGGACUAUUGGAUCAAAGUCAGCUCCAGAGGACUAUUGGAUCAAGGUCAGCUCCAGAGGACUAUUGAAUCAAGGUCAGCUCCAGGGGACUAUUAGAUCAAGGUCAGCUCCAGGGGACUAUUGGAUCAAGGUCAGCUCCAGUGGACAGUUAAAUAAAGUUUGACACAACGAUAGAAAACUACAAACCACAGGCCUCCGCAUCCAUAACGCUUACUGUUAGUCCUUCUCUCUUCUUCAUCCAUAACGCUUCCUGUUAGUCCUUCUCUCUUCUUCAUCCAUAACGCUUACUGUUAGUCCUUCUCUCUUCUUCAUCCAUAACGCUUACUGUUAGUCCUUCUCUCUUCUUCAUCCAUAACGCUUACUGUUAGUCCUUCUCUCUUCUUCAUCCAUAACGCUUCCUGUUAGUCCUUCUCUCUUCUUCAUCCAUAAUGCUUCUUAUUCCGCCUCUCCUCCUCCAUAGUACUUUCUGUUCCUUCUUUCCUCCUCCUUCUCUUGUAAAGUCAUGUUAAAUAUAUCCCAGCUUGGAGGUAUGUUCUCUAAGAAGUGACCAGCUG